rnacentral:lncRNA from 1 species
AAAGAUUUUUAAAUGCCAAUUCUUUGGCUACCAACCCUAUUUUGCCCAGGCAUGGACAUGGAGCAGGUGAACAUUCCUUUACCUAUGACAUGCCUGAAGAUUCUGAGACCUACGUGAAUCAGGUGACUAGAGCAGGCUGGUUUGGAACAGGGCUUAUGUCGGAUGAGAAUUGUGCCAGGAUCCUCAGUGAUGGGCAGCAUCACUUUAAGUUCAGUGUUAGGAGCUACCUGCUGAGACAGACAUCUCCUCCACAGUGA